rnacentral:ncRNA from 1 species
GGCCCAGUGCGGUAACGCAAACCAGCUCGGAGACGCCGAUGCGAGCCCCGGGAAGAGUUUUCUUUUCUCUGUAAGGAGAUCGAGUCCCUGGAAUGGGUUCGCCCCGAGAUAGGGAUGGUGGCUCCGUAGAGCAGUGCGGUUCUUGCGCUGUCCGGUGCGCUCGCGUCGGCCCUUGAAAAUCCGAGUGAGGGAGUGUGAUUUUCGUGCCGGACCGUACCCACAUCCGCAGCAGGUCUCCAAGGUGAACAGCCUCUAGUCGAUGGACCAAUGUAGGUAAGGGAAGUCGGCAAAACGGAUCCGUAACCUUGGGAUAAGGAUUGGCUCUGAGGACUGAGCCGGUCGGGCUGGGGACCUGAAGCAGGAACGGCACUGCACCGGGACUGGGCGGGGUUCGCCGUUCACGCGGCGCGGCCAAGCCCGGACCAGCGUCGGGACCUUCCUGUGGAAAGCCUCAGCUGCGCGGCGUCUGAGGGCUUCGUGCCCAAAGUGCUAUGCUUCGGCCGGCAAAAAACAGUCAACUCAGAACUGGCACGGACCGGGGGAAUCCGACUGUCUAAUUAAAACAAAGCAUUGCGAUGGCCGCUGGUCGGUGUUGACGCAAUGUGAUUUCUGCCCAGUGCUCUGAAUGUCAACGUGAAGAAAUUCAUCAAAGCGCGGGUAAACGGCGGGAGUAACUAUGACUGACCAUAAAGUUCGGACCUUGACUAUGGAUCACGGUAGAGCCUCCGACUUCCCACGGGAUGUGUACCUCCUCGAUGGUACCGCUGGAAACGGUUGUCUGAACACCGGCCAAACCACGUCCCAAACCCAGGAUCUACGGGGAAACCCUCCCCGCAGGUUCAAAAGCGGCUCGGCAAGUCCGAAAACCCACAAAUCGGAAAGCCACGGGUCAAUGCCCGACGCUCCGAGCCCUAAGCGUUGCUUGUCAGCCAGAAGGUCGCAAGGUGGACCCGGAGCGGAGGCUCCUCCCGGCGGACCCGAGCGGGAUCUGUCGGAGGUGGCUGCUCGGGAGCCUGCACCGAAAACAGGAAAGCAAAAGGACAAAGCUAAGACC